UGACAAUUCAUACGAGUUUAAUUAAUAUGAAAAGUAAAAUGUCCAUUACUUUCACGAUGUCCUCCAGGACCUAACAUAGUGCCUGGCACAGCAGGAACUCAAUAAAAAUCCUUAUGGAAUCUUAUUGAACCUAGAUGGAAAAAGUACCUUCUGCACCAACUCCAUUCCCUGUGAUCUACGCCGUCGUCCCUGUCCAUUCCGUCCAGCCCAGAUCCCUACUUCUGCAAGUGCCCUCACUAUGGGACCUGGUGACCUUCCUCUUGAGUAGCCGGACAUCUCCUGCCUAGCUUUCUUCUGCAGAGGCAAUGAACACCGAGCGCCGGUCCCGGACGCCUUGCAGCUCGCAGGGCGCAGUGCUCAUUUGGAGCUGCAGGGGGCAAGCGUGACCCGGGAACUCCCGCCAGAGGGUCGGGACGGGGCGGAGCUUCAGGGGCGGGUCGUCUCAGUGCGCAGGCGCGGGGCCAGGCGCCUCGCGCGGCCAGGGGCAGGCGGGCGCAGAGCAGUCCCGGCCGCGGCUUUGGUAGCAGCGAGUUCGAGCCCCGCUCCCGCUCCGCUUUGGUUUUCGCUCCCCCGGCCCUUGGGCCUCCCGACGCCAGUCCCCGGCAGCUCACUGCUCAUAGCGCUCUCCCCGCCGCCAAGAUGCCGGUAACCGAGAAGGAUCUGGCGGAGGACGCGCCUUGGAAGAAGAUCCAGCAGAACACGUUCACGCGUUGGUGCAACGAGCACCUCAAGUGCGUGAACAAACGCAUCGGAAACCUGCAGACCGACUUGAGCGACGGGCUUCGGCUCAUCGCGCUGCUGGAGGUGCUUAGCCAGAAGCACAUGUACCGCAAGUACCACCAGCGGCCCACCUUCCGCCAGAUGCAGCUUGAGAACGUGUCCGUGGCGCUCGAGUUCCUGGACCGUGAGAACAUCAAGCUCGUGUCCAUCGACAGCAAAGCCAUCGUGGAUGGGAACCUAAAGCUCAUCUUGGGCCUAGUAUGGACGCUGAUCCUCCAUUACUCCAUCUCCAUGCCCGUGUGGGAGGAUGAAGGGGACGAUGAUGCCAAGAAGCAGACACCAAAGCAGAGGCUGCUGGGGUGGAUUCAGAACAAGAUCCCUUACUUGCCCAUCACCAACUUCAACCAGAACUGGCAGGACGGCAAAGCCCUGGGAGCCCUGGUAGACAGCUGUGCUCCAGGUCUGUGCCCAGACUGGGAAUCCUGGGACCCAAGAAAGCCUGUGGAUAAUGCACGAGAAGCCAUGCAGCAGGCAGACGACUGGCUUGGUGUCCCACAGGUCAUCACUCCUGAAGAAAUUAUUCACCCAGAUGUAGAUGAGCACUCGGUAAUGACUUACCUGUCCCAGUUCCCCAAAGCCAAGCUCAAGCCAGGGGCUCCUCUUAAACCCAAACUCAACCCCAAGAAGGCCAGGGCCUAUGGCAGAGGAAUCGAGCCCACUGGAAACAUGGUGAAGCAGCCGGCCAAGUUCACUGUGGACACCAUCAGCGCGGGGCAAGGAGACGUUAUGGUGUUUGUUGAGGACCCCGAAGGGAACAAAGAGGAGGCACACGUGACCCCCGAUAGCGACAAGAACAAGACAUACUCUGUGGAGUAUCUGCCCAAGGUCACCGGACUGCACAAAGUCACAGUCCUCUUUGCAGGACAGCACAUCUCCAAGAGCCCAUUUGAAGUGAAUGUUGACAAAGCCCAAGGGGAUGCCAGUAAAGUCACCGCAAAAGGCCCAGGCUUGGAAGCUUCCGGGAACAUCGCCAAUAAGCCCACCUAUUUUGACAUCUACACAGCAGGUGCUGGCGUGGGUGACAUUGGUGUGGAGGUGGAAGAUCCCCAGGGGAAGAACACCGUGGAGUUACUCGUGGAAGACAAAGGAAACCAGGUGUAUCGAUGUGUGUACAAACCCAUGCAGCCUGGCCCCCACGUGAUCAAGGUCUCCUUUGCUGGAGACACCAUUCCCAAGAGUCCCUUUGUGGUGCAAGUUGGGGAAGCCUGCAAUCCAAACGCCUGCCGGGCCAGUGGCCGAGGCCUGCAGCCUAAAGGCAUUCGUAUCCGGGAAACUGCAGACUUCAAGGUUGACACCAAAGCUGCUGGAAGUGGAGAGCUCGGUGUAACCGUGAAGGGUCCUAAGGGUCUGGAGGAGCUGGUGAAGCAGAAAGGCUUUCUGGAUGGAGUCUAUUCCUUUGAGUAUUACCCCAGCACCCCAGGGAAAUACAGCAUCGCCAUCAUGUGGGGGGGACACCACAUUCCAAAGAGUCCCUUUGAAGUUCAAGUUGGCCCUGAAGCAGGCAUGCAGAAAGUCCGUGCAUGGGGCCCUGGCCUCCACGGAGGGAUUGUUGGGCGGUCGGCUGACUUUGUGGUGGAAUCCAUUGGUUCUGAAGUGGGGUCUCUGGGGUUUGCCAUUGAAGGCCCCUCCCAGGCAAAGAUAGAGUAUGACGACCAGAAUGAUGGCUCGUGUGAUGUCAAGUACUGGCCCAAGGAGCCAGGUGAAUAUGCGGUUCACAUCAUGUGUGACGAUGAAGACAUCAAGGACAGUCCCUACAUGGCCUUCAUCCACCCGGCCUCAGGAGACUACAACCCGGAUCUGGUGCAAGCAUACGGACCAGGUUUGGAGAAAUCUGGCUGCAUUGUCGACAACCUGGCAGAGUUCACUGUAGAUCCUAAGAAUGCUGGAAAAGCUCCCUUAAAGAUACUGGCUCAGGAUGGGGAAGGCCAGCCCAUUGACAUCCAGAUGAAGAGCCGGAUGGAUGGCACAUACGCCUGCUCGUACACCCCAGUUAAGCCCAUCAAGCACACCAUUGCUGUGGUCUGGGGAGGUGUCAACAUCCCGAACAGCCCUUACAGGGUCAACAUCGGGCAGGGUAGCCAUCCCCAGAAGGUCAAAGUGUUUGGGCCAGGAGUGGAGCGAAGUGGACUGAAGGCAAAUGAGCCUACUCACUUCACAGUGGACUGUACCGAGGCUGGGGAAGGUGAUGUCAGUGUUGGCAUUAAAUGUGAUGCCCGAGUGUUAAGUGAGGAUGAGGAAGAUGUGGAUUUUGACAUUAUUCACAACGCCAAUGACACAUUUACAGUAAAGUAUGUGCCUCCUGCUGCUGGGCGAUACACAAUCAAAGUCCUCUUUGCCUCUCAGGAAAUCCCCGCCAGCCCUUUCCGAGUCAGAGUUGACCCUUCCCACGAUGCCAGCAAAGUGAAGGCAGAAGGUCCAGGACUCAGCAAAUCAGGUGUGGAAAACGGGAAACCGACCCACUUUACUGUCUACACCAAAGGGGCUGGAAAAGCCCCACUCAACGUGCAGUUCAGCAGCCCCCUUCCUGGCGACGCGGUGAAGGAUUUGGAUGUCAUCGAUAAUUAUGACUACUCCCACACCGUCAAAUACACUCCCACCCAGCAGGGCACCAUGCAGGUUCUGGUUACAUAUGGCGGCGAUCCUAUCCCCAAAAGCCCUUUCACUGUGGGUGUGGCUGCUCCACUGGAUCUGAGCAGGAUCAAAGUCAAUGGGCUGGAAAACAGAGUCGAAGUUGGGAAGGAUCAGGAGUUCGCCAUUGAUACCAGAGGGGCUGGAGGCCAGGGGAAGCUGGACGUGACGAUCCUGAGCCCCUCGAGGAAGGUUGUGCCAUGUCUGGUGGCGCCUGUGGCGGGCCGGGAGAGCAGCACGGCCAAGUUCAUACCCCGAGAGGAGGGGCUGUACGCUGUCGAUGUGACCUACGAUGGACACCCUGUGCCUGGGAGCCCUUACAUGGUGGAGGCCUCACUGCCGCCUGAUCCCACCAAGGUGAAGGCGCAUGGUCCCGGCCUUGAAGGCGGUCUUGUGGGGAAGCCUGCUGAGUUCACCAUCGACACCAAAGGAGCUGGAACUGGAGGUUUGGGCUUAACCGUGGAAGGUCCAUGCGAGGCCAAAAUCGAAUGCUCGGACAAUGGUGAUGGGACCUGCUCCGUCUCCUACCUGCCCACAAAGCCCGGGGAGUACUUCGUCAACAUCCUCUUUGAAGAAGUCCACAUACCUGGUUCUCCUUUCAAAGCCGACAUUGAAAUGCCAUUCGACCCCUCUAAAGUCGUGGCGUCAGGCCCAGGGCUUGAGCAUGGGAAAGUGGGCGAGGCCGGGCUGCUUAGCGUGGACUGUUCAGAAGCGGGGCCAGGGACCCUGGGCCUGGAGGCUGUCUCCGACUCGGGAGCGAAAGCAGAAGUCUGUAUUGAGAACAACAAAGACGGCACCUACGCGGUGACCUACGUGCCCCUGACUGCGGGCAUGUACACACUGACCAUGAAGUAUGGUGGUGAACUGGUGCCGCACUUCCCCGCCAGGGUCAAGGUGGAGCCUGCCGUGGACACCAGCCGGGUCAAAGUCUUUGGGCCAGGAAUUGAAGGAAAAGAUGUGUUUCGUGAAGCCACCACCGACUUCACGGUCGACUCACGACCCCUGACGCAGGUUGGGGGCGACCACAUCAAGGCCCACAUUGCCAACCCCUCGGGGGCCUCCACGGAGUGUUUCGUCACAGACAAUGCUGAUGGGACCUACCAGGUGGAAUACACACCCUUCGAGAAGGGCCUCCAUGUAGUGGAGGUGACAUACGAUGAUGUGCCCAUCCCAAACAGUCCCUUCAAAGUGGCUGUAACCGAAGGCUGCCAGCCAUCCCGGGUUCAAGCUCAAGGACCUGGAUUGAAAGAAGCCUUUACCAACAAACCCAAUGUCUUCACCGUGGUUACCAGAGGGGCAGGAAUUGGGGGUCUUGGCAUAACUGUUGAGGGACCGUCUGAGUCGAAGAUAAACUGCAGAGACAACAAAGAUGGCAGCUGUAGUGCUGAGUACAUCCCCUUUGCCCCAGGAGAUUAUGAUGUGAAUAUCACCUAUGGAGGAGCCCACAUCCCUGGCAGCCCCUUCAGGGUUCCCGUGAAGGAUGUUGUGGACCCCAGCAAGGUCAAGAUUGCUGGCCCUGGCCUGGGCUCCGGUGUCCGAGCUCGCAUCUUACAGUCCUUCACGGUGGACAGCAGCAAGGCUGGCCUGGCCCCCCUGGAAGUGAGAGUCCUGGGCCCACGAGCUGUUGAGACGGAUUCCCAGUCAAGGCGCAGCCCCUUGAAAGCCAUUUCAGAGUUCUUUAAACGUGACCUGAAGGGUGACUUUAUGGAGACAGGCCUGGUGGAGCCAGUGAAUGUGGUGGACAAUGGGGAUGGCACACAUACGGUGACCUACACCCCAUCCCAGGAGGGGCCUUAUAUGGUCUCUGUUAAAUAUGCUGAUGAAGAGAUCCCUCGUAGUCCCUUUAAGGUCAAGGUCCUUCCCACGUAUGAUGCCAGCAAAGUGACUGCCAGUGGCCCUGGCCUCAGUACCUAUGGUGUGCCUGCCAGCCUGCCUGUGGAGUUUGCAAUCGAUGCCAGAGAUGCCGGGGAAGGCCUGCUUGCUGUUCAGAUAACGGACCAAGAGGGAAAACCCAAAAGGGCCAUUGUUCACGACAAUAAAGAUGGCACAUAUGCCGUCACCUACAUCCCCGACAAGACUGGACGCUAUAUGAUUGGGGUCACCUAUGGCGGGGAUGACAUCCCCUUGUCUCCCUAUCGCAUCCGGGCCACACAGACAGGCGAUGCCAGCAAGUGCCUGGCCACAGGUCCUGGCAUUGCCUCCACUGUGAAAACCGGCGAGGAAGUGGGCUUUGUGGUUGACGCCAAGACUGCCGGGAAAGGCAAAGUGACCUGCACGGUUCUGACCCCAGACGGCACUGAGGCUGAGGCUGAUGUCAUUGAGAAUGAGGAUGGCACCUAUGACAUUUUCUACACGGCCGCCAAGCCAGGCACCUAUGUCAUCUACGUGCGCUUCGGUGGCGUUGAUAUUCCCAACAGCCCCUUCACUGUCAUGGUCACCGAAGAGGCCUAUGUCCCAGUGAGUGACAUGAAUGGCCUAGGAUUUAAGCCUUUCGACCUGGUCAUUCCAUUUGCAGUCAGGAAAGGAGAAAUCACCGGAGAGGUCCACAUGCCUUCCGGGAAGACAGCUACACCUGAGAUCGUGGACAACAAGGAUGGCACGGUCACCGUCAGAUAUGCCCCCACCGAGGUCGGGCUCCACGAGAUGCACAUCAAAUACAUGGGCAGCCAUAUCCCUGAGAGCCCACUCCAGUUCUACGUGAACUACCCCAACAGCGGGAGCGUUUCUGCGUAUGGCCCAGGCCUGGUGUACGGCGUGGCCAACAAAACCGCCACCUUCACCAUCGUCACUGAGGACGCAGGAGAAGGUGGCCUGGACCUGGCAAUUGAGGGACCCUCAAAGGCCGAAAUCAGCUGCAUUGACAACAAAGAUGGGACGUGCACAGUGACCUAUCUGCCCACCCUGCCGGGUGACUACAGCAUUCUGGUCAAGUACAAUGACAAGCACAUCCCUGGCAGCCCCUUCACAGCCAAGAUCACAGACGACAGCAGGCGGUGCUCUCAGGUGAAGCUGGGCUCUGCUGCUGACUUCCUGCUCGACAUCAGCGAGACUGACCUUAGCACACUGACGGCUAGCAUCAAGGCCCCGUCCGGCCGCGACGAGCCCUGUCUCCUGAAAAGGCUGCCCAACAAUCACAUUGGCAUCUCUUUCAUCCCCCGGGAGGUGGGUGAACACCUGGUCAGCAUCAAGAAGAAUGGCAACCACGUGGCCAACAGCCCAGUGUCCAUCAUGGUGGUACAAUCAGAGAUCGGGGAUGCCCGAAGAGCCAAAGUCUACGGCCGUGGCCUGUCGGAAGGCCGGACUUUCGAGAUGUCUGAAUUUAUCGUGGACACAAGGGAUGCAGGUCUGUUGGGGUGUUCCAGGGGAAAAAGCCCAGAGCUUCGGAACUGGCUUCUUUUUGCUCUGAUUGCUUCAUUUUCUCAUCCUGACAACUUUCUUUUCUCUCUGAGCAUCCUUCAAACUAUGGAUCCUUGGAGUUUCCGUCGUGGCUCAGCGGAAAUGAAUCUGACUAGGAACCAUGAGGUUGCGGGUUUGAUUCCUGGCCUCGCUCAGUGGAUUAAGGAUCCAGUGUUGCUGGAAGCCAUGGUUAUGGUGGUAUAUCCUUGGCGGUGGAAGGCCCCAGCAAAGUGGACAUCCAGACAGAGGACCUGGAGGACGGCACUUGCAAGGUCUCCUACUUCCCCACCGUGCCUGGAGUUUACAUCGUCUCCACCAAAUUUGCUGACGAGCACGUGCCUGGGAGCCCAUUUACUGUGAAGAUCAGUGGGGAGGGAAGAGUCAAAGAGAGCAUCACCCGUACCAGUCGGGCUCCAUCUGUAGCCACUGUCGGAAGCAUCUGUGACCUGAACCUGAAAAUCCCAGAAAUCGACAGCAGUGACAUGUCAGCGCAUGUCACCAGCCCCUCUGGCCGCGUGACUGAGGCAGAGAUUGUGCCUGUGGGGAAGAACUCUCACUGCGUCCGGUUUGUGCCCCAGGAGAUGGGCGUGCACACUGUCAGCGUCAAAUACCGUGGCCAGCACGUCACUGGCAGCCCCUUCCAGUUCACUGUGGGGCCGCUGGGCGAGGGGGGCGCCCACAAGGUCAGGGCAGGGGGCCCUGGCCUGGAGCGAGGAGAAGCAGGAGUCCCAGCUGAGUUCAGCAUCUGGACCCGGGAGGCAGGCGCCGGAGGCCUCUCCAUCGCUGUCGAGGGCCCCAGUAAGGCUGAGAUUACAUUCGAUGACCAUAAAAACGGAUCAUGUGGUGUGUCUUAUAUUGCCCAAGAGCCUGGUAACUACGAGGUGUCUAUCAAGUUCAAUGAUGAGCACAUCCCCGAAAGUCCCUACCUGGUACCAGUGAUCGCACCCUCUGACGACGCCCGCCGCCUCACUGUUCUGAGCCUUCAGGAAUCGGGAUUAAAAGUUAACCAGCCAGCCUCCUUUGCUAUAAGGUUGAAUGGGGCAAAAGGCAAGAUUGAUGCAAAGGUACACAGCCCCUCUGGAGCCGUGGAGGAAUGUCACGUGUCUGAGCUGGAGCCAGAUAAGUAUGCUGUUCGCUUCAUUCCGCACGAGAAUGGUGUCCACACGAUCGACGUCAAGUUCAACGGGAGCCACGUGGUUGGAAGUCCCUUCAAAGUGCGCGUUGGGGAGCCAGGACAAGCGGGGAACCCUGCCCUGGUGUCUGCCUAUGGCGCGGGGCUCGAGGGAGGCACCACAGGUAUUCAAUCUGAAUUUUUCAUCAACACCACCCGAGCAGGGCCAGGGACAUUAUCUGUCACCAUUGAAGGCCCAUCCAAGGUUAAAAUGGAUUGCCAGGAAACCCCAGAAGGGUACAAAGUCAUGUACACCCCCAUGGCUCCUGGAAACUACCUGAUUGGCGUCAAAUACGGUGGGCCCAACCACAUCGUUGGCAGUCCUUUCAAGGCCAAGGUGACAGGCCAGCGUCUGGUCAGCCCCGGCUCGGCCAAUGAAACCUCAUCCAUCCUGGUGGAGUCAGUGACCAGGUCCUCAACGGAGACCUGCUAUAGCGCCAUCCCCAAGGCAUCCUCAGAUGCCAGCAAGGUGACCUCCAAGGGAGCAGGACUCUCAAAGGCCUUCGUGGGCCAGAAGAGCUCCUUCCUGGUGGAUUGCAGCAAAGCCGGUUCCAACAUGCUGUUGAUCGGGGUCCAUGGGCCCACCACCCCCUGCGAAGAGGUCUCCAUGAAGCAUGUGGGCAACCAGCAAUACAACGUCACAUACGUCGUCAAGGAGAAGGGGGAUUACGUUCUGGCCGUGAAGUGGGGAGAGGAGCACAUCCCUGGCAGCCCCUUCCAUGUCACAGUGCCUUAAAACAGUUGUCGUCACAUCCUGGGAGGAGUUGUAGUGGUUGCUUUUGUUGCUUGUUUGUAACUCGUCUUAUACAAAGUCCACUGGCCUGUUUGUGGGUCUGAAACCCCAUCCCCCAAAACAUUGCCAUUUUUUUCAAAGUACAUUCAGAAAGAAGUUCUAGACUUGACUCUUUAGGGACAUGGUGGGGACUCAAAAAAUGCACUCAUUCAAUAGGCCCAGCAAACCGGACCUCUUGUGGCACAGAUCACCCCCUACAGACAGACCAAGAACACAGACAAUGCUCACAUUUUUAAGAAAUGAAAUGGGUUAGCCAGUUUACAAAACAAGACUGGGGCCUGAGGGUGGGGGGAGGGGGAGAGGGAAAGAGGAGACCUCGUUUAGGUUGUCAAGAAAAGAAGAUGACCUAACAUCAGCUUUGCCUCUUCCAGUGCCCAUAUCACGUGAGAUGGACCCCAUUGUUAUAACACACCUCAUUACCACCCCGCCCCACCUCUCAAAGGGCAGCGUGACUGUGGUGACAAGCUGGCCAAAAUGGCUUUUCACUGCCUCUCCCCUCAUCCUGCUACUUUCUUCCCCAGAGAGUCAUUGUGUGUGACCAUCUGGGCAGCCACGUCUUUGCUUUUGUUUGUCAAGUCCAUUUCAGUUGCCAGGUCUGAGGAAAUUCUGCAGUGGUAAGCAGCCCCUGAUUUGCCAAAGAUCCACCCUUUUUUUAACCAACGCUAGCCCUUGUUCUUUACACGCUCCAGCUCAAGCUGUUCAUCUAUCUGAUGAGUCCUACCAGCACAACCAGAGAGACCGCAGGUGGGUCUGCGUAUUAGCCGAGGCCUGUCACGCCACAUAACAUUAAGUCCACGUCCGCCCCAAGUCAGCCCCAGGGUCACUUUUUCUGAGAAGUAAUUAUAGAAAAGAACGAAACUCAUAUGACGUUUUAGCCUGAAAGUCAGGGAACUGCGGAUCUGGAGGGAAGGACGGCAGCUCACCAGUGGUCCUUUACCAGUUGCAGAAAUAGUGAAAAGCUGUGUCGCUGACCAGGGCUGUUGGGAAAGUGGUAGGCAGGUGCAAAAUUGCAGAAAUGGAGCACAAGGCAUUUUGCACGCCUUCUUGCAGACCUACUUUGCAGACCAGCAUUCAGGGGCUGCCUGACUGCAGGGCCCAGAUGUGCAGUGUGGUCUGGACAGGCAGCCUUUUCAGAUUUGCCACUUAGUCUUGAGGAGGUGGCCACUGUGGCAAGCACCCCCCUCCAUGGAUGGGGCGGAGCGAGGUGGGUGACCCUCCCUGAGGUGUAGCAGCUGGGGGUGAGUGCUGGUGAAGCCCACCUGUUGGAAACUGGAGCAGCCCAAAGCCUGAAGGGACCACAGGCCUCAUAAACUGGGAGACAGAAGGGAAACUGGAACCAAAUGCCGACUGUAAAUGUAUCUUAUAACUUAUUAAAUACAACAUUUGCUCCUCAA